AAACCGCGCGGUUCUCUUGAAUAAAGCCUUCCUUGUUCUUUCUACAAUCCCGCCUCUCACCUCUUCCUGUGUCAUUCCCAGAUCAAGAGUGACAUCUGGUGACCCGACCUGUGUGCUGCUCCGGCCGGCCUUCGCGGAAUGCGGCAGACCCCCGGGACCCGCGCCUGACCCCACGGGUCCUUGGGUCCGCGUUCGGACCCCUCUGUUUCCCCGGAGAGACACUGGAGUGCGAUGGGUACCUGCAGAGUGCAUCCGCCUUGACUUGCAACAUCAAAACCGGAAUGUGGCCAACAGGCAACCUUUGAAUGAUGACCAAGAUAACAACCAAGAUGAGGGCCAAGAUGACAACCAUCAAUCAGAUGGCCCUUCCACGAGUGGGGACUGAAUUUCAUCCUGUUUUCUGAAAAGGACUGUUUUGAAUUAGAAUAAGCAUAUGACUUAGAAUUGAUAGUGCAUUUUAUAAGAGACAAUCACAAGACCUGAUCUCUCUGGCCAUUUUAAUCUGAUCUGAUGGAGGGACCGCUGGAGCCGUGUUUGUUCUCCUUUCUGCAAGGGGCCCCACAGAGGACUACAAACACCACCUCCAUCUUUAAACAAACAAGGGGGACCUGUAGAUGCCAUGGGACAGAGAGAGAGAAAUGGCAAGCAUUCCUCACAGCGGCUUGUGAGACCUUUCAGGGAGUUGUAAGAAUGUGAUAACUUGUUAGUAGAAACAAUCUGCAGGUGAUGUUUUUCUACUUCAUCUUUCUGUUCUUCUCGAGGACGGUGUAUGAGAAAGGUGUUUUUGUUAACUAGCCAAUCAAAUAGAAUGUAUGGUAUCACUCUAUAAAAACCACCUGGUUCUCUCGAAUAAAGCCUUCUUUGUUCUUUCUACAA